CCUACGGGAGGCAGCAGUAGGGAAUCUUGCACAAUGGGGGAAAGCCUGAUGCAGCGACGCCGCGUGAGGGAAGAAGUUUUUCGGUAUGUAAACUUCUAUUAGCAGGGAAGAAAGUGACGGUGCCUGACUAAGAAGCCCCGGAUAACUACGUGCCAGCAGCCGAGGGAAUACGUAGGGGGCAAGCGUGAUCCGGAUUUACGGGGUGUAAAGGGAGCGUGGGCGGUGAUGCAAGUCAGAAGUGAAAGCCCGGGGCUCAACUCCGGGAGUGCAUUUGAAACUGGAUGGCUAGAUUGCAGGAGAGGCAAGUGGAACUCCGAGUGUAGCGGUGAAAUGCGUAGAUAUUAGGAAGAACACCAGUGGCGAAGGCGGCUUGCUGGACUGUAAAUGACGCUGAGGCUCGAAAGCGUGGGGAGCAAACAGGAUUAGAUACCCUUGUAGUC
rnacentral:rRNA from 1 species